CACGUGGUAGCUGCGGCUGCUGUUAUGGCUGAGCCCCUGGAGGGACUGGGUCGCUUCAAAGCCAACUAUGCUGUAGAACGCAAGAUCGAACCUUUCUACAAGGGCGGGAAGGUGCAGCUGGACCAGACCGGGCAGCACCUCUUCUGUAUCUGCGGGAACAGAGUCAACAUCCUGGAUGUGGCUUCAGGGGCUGUGCUGUGGGGUUUGGAA